GAUAAUUUCCCCGACAAGCUUCAACCUAGACAAAGAUCGAGAAAAUUUCAAAAGAAGGGAAAAAUUGUCUUCUUCCUUUGUAUAUUGUUUGAUGGCUCUAUAGGUGUGACCCACUUACUCAAUCUGUGUCUUCGUACUUUUCCACCCACAGAUUCUGCAGUUGUUCGACCUUGGUGAUGCUCAAGAGGAGGCUUCAGAAAGAAUAGUUGUUAUUAGUUUAGUGUUGAAAUUUGGAGACGGCACAGAUUGUAUUCCUAAGAUUCAAUGAGUUCAUCGAGUUGCCCCUUCUGUGACCAAGUUGUUCCAUCAGACGAACUUCAGCGGCAUGCCAAUGGUCACUUUGAGGAUGAAGAGAAUGACAAUAAACAACGCCAACUUGCGAUGGACUUUGAGUUGGCCCAACAAAUGGCUUUUUCCUCUACUUCUUAUGACAAUGAUAAUGAUAACGGGGACAUGCCACAAGAGAUUAAGUGUGAGGGAUCUUUGAGUAGCAACAAGUUAAGUUGUGAGAGCGGCACUUCGGUGAUGGGGGAGUUGAAUGUUAAUGAAAAGGUAUCAUGCUUGAUUGGUUCACAGAAUAGGGGUGCCUUUUAUAAGGUGGAAGGUGGUCUGAUGUCUUUAUUAAAAAAUUGCUUAGAAUUAGAAUCUCAUGACUCGACUAGUAUUUUGUCAGGGUAUGUUGAUCAUUAUCAGAGUAUUGAGUUUGAGGAUUUUGGGUGGGGCUGUGGAUGGCGGAACAUUCAAAUGCUAUGCUCUCAUUUGCUAAUGCAAAGACCAGAAACAAGAAACAUUUUAUUUGGUGGGUCAGGAGUUGUUCCAGAUAUUCCAUCACUUCAGAGAUGGCUUGAGGUUGCUUGGGAAAGAGGAUUUGAUGUACAUGGGGCAGAACAUUUUAACUACAAAAUUUAUGGCAAAAAAAAUUGGAUUGGAACCACUGAAUGUGCUGCUCUUUUGCGUUCCUUUGGGCUUCAGGCAAGGAUAAUUGAUUUUGGUCCUAAAGAGUGUGAGGAACUUUAUCUCUCAGUCCCUGGUUCAAGUAGUGGGGCACAAAUGGAAAACCUAAUUGAUGCAAAUAAGAGAAAGACAAUUAAGGUUUGUGGGCCCAUGGAUAGGUAUCUUGUCCGUACAAAUGAUAGUGAUCCACAAACUGGUUCUAGUGGGCAUGAAAAUUCCGUAUAUUUUAAAAUCUCUCAAAAUGUCACGAAAAAUAAGUCCCCUAAAAAAGCCAAGGGUCAUCAAGUUCUAGUUGAUUGGGUUUGGAAUUACUUCUCUGAUGGAAGGAUAUGCACGUAUGAUCACCAACGCGUAAAUAUUAGUGAAAAAACGCCAUUGUUCUUUCAGCAUGAUGGACAUUCUAGGACUAUUGUGGGGAUUCAAGUUAAACAGAAGUGUAACGGAAUGCAGCAAUAUAAUCUCCUGAUUUUGGACCCAGCUCAUAAUACUAGAGGCCUUGAAAGGGCCCUCAGAGAAAAUAUUGGAUGGCAGCAACUAAUAAAAAGAGGAAUUCAUACGCUAAAUAAGCCACAAUACCAGCUGUGUUAUAUUGAUUCUGGAAUUGCUGCUGGGGUUGAUGUGGAAUUACUCAAGACAAUCGAUAGCAUCUUUCUGGAGAUUUAAGUGAACGUAUUGUAGCUUUUUGUUCCCUAAGGCACAAGUCAUUGAGGUGUAUUUAAACUACAAAAUCUUUCAUUUGAGCAAAAUUGUUGGCUUUUUCAGAAGAGUUCUAGCAAUGGCUAUUCUUUGCUUUUGUCCUCCAGACAGUUGGCAACCUCUUUCUCCAACAAGUGUAUCGUAUCCAUCAGCAAAGAGUGCAGGUUCCUGGGAAACUAUUCCAAUGUUUUCCCUGACGAAUUUCAGGUUCAGAUCCUUGAUGUUCUGAUGAUCUAUGAAAAUAUCUCCUGAAGAAAAAUUGUUUUAAGAUUGACAUGACUAUGAACAAUAAGAGAAAGGGGAUGAAAAGGAAAAGGGCUGGUGGUGGCAUACCCUGAAGAGGGUCAUAGAAUCUAGUGAUAAGGGAGAUGACUGUACUUUUUCCACACCCGCUGCUACCAACUAAGGCAUUAGACUGCCCUGCAGGAAUGGACAAAGUGAAGUCUUGAAGGAUGAGUUUAUGAGGACGAGACGGGUAAGCAAAGUGGACUUUUUGAAUGUUAAUGUGGCCUUCAAUAUCCUCCAACGUCUUCUCUUUUGAACCAUCGAUUGACGAGGGCUUCCUUUGAAUCACUUGGAAAACUUCCUUCCCUGCAGCCUUUGCCUGGUUGAAUAUUUGCAUGUCUGGUGCAGCGUAAGUCAGUGAGCUGCAACUCACCAAAAAAGAAAAAGGAGAGUAUUCCUCAUUUUAACAUUUUUAGAACUCAAGGAAACGAUUCUACAACCGAUAUAAUGGAUCAUGUUCAAGUAAGAUUGUUCUCAUUUUAACAUUCUACAUCUUUGGCUCAUUUUGGAUUACACAUUUUGAUAUGCUGAUAUAGUUUUUUACUUACAUUGCUCCAAAGAGAAUGCUCAUAACAGCAGCUAUGAUGUCCCCUCCAUUGGCUCUUCCUGCAGUUACAACAACGGCUCCAAUCCAUACAAUGAGACUCCAACAACAGAAAGUCACGGUUUGAAACAUUCCUAUGCCCACUCCCUUAACCAAUGCUUCUUGCUUGCUCAUCACAAUCAUUUUCUCGCAUUGUUCUGCAAAUGCCUUUAUGCUGCUUCUCUCUCCCACAAAUGCAUACACUGCUCUGAUUUGAGAUAUUGACUGUCCCAUACAUAUUAGUUAACAUUUUUGUUCUAUACAUAUCAAAAAACAAGUUUGCAAACAGGUUCUUCCGAUUGACUAUGAUAAGUGUUGGCUGUCCCUACAUAGUUUCUAAACUAUAGCUUUUCAUAUGUUACCUCAUGUUAUAAAAUCAAAUCAAUUAGUGUUUUGGGACAAUGAGUGAAAUUCUAGAGUUAAGGGAGAGACAAGCAGCACAAAGACAGUAGGACUCACAAGCUCUUUGGGCCAAGAAGUAGCUUCAGAUUGGUAACCAAUUUUGAUAGAGGAAAUGAGAGUCAUCCUCUUAGUAUAAGCAGCCCCAAUUGCCAUAACCAAUGGAGCUACCAAGAGAGUGAGCAAUGACACUUCCCAACAGCUUAUGAUAGCAAUCACAACUCCACUAAUGAAAGUCGCCACGCUUGCUAAAAAAUGCCCCAACUGCAUCCAUGCAAUAUUAGAGAAGAGAUUAAAGAAGAAAGAGAAACUAUUUCUUUUUUAUUUUGUGCAUUCUCUAAUAUCAUAUAAAUCGUUAUUAAAUCCAAAAAAAUUGAGCAGAUGAAUCGUGAUAAUUGGCUUUACCUUCUCUCCAAUGGCAUCUUGUAUAAUGGUCAUGUGGGCACUGAUUCCAGUAAUUAUUUUGGCAGUGGUGAGAUCUGUGUCAAAAGCACCAAUUUCUUGACUAAGCACUGAUUGCAAGAAUGCAAGUCGUAGACGAGCUGCCUGUCUCUCACUUGUGUACAUCCAACACCCAAUUUCUAUUAAUUACAAAAGAGAAAUAUAAGCAUACAUACUAUACAGUUUCAUAUGUGAAGUAAUAUUAUUCAAAAGUUUGAGGAA